rnacentral:rRNA from 1 species
UCCGAAGGUCCCAAGCGUUAUCCGGAUUUCUUGGGUUUAAAGGGUGCGUAGGCGGGCUAUUAAGUCAGUGGUGAAAGCCCCAAGCUUAACUUGGGAACUGCCAUUGAUACUGAUGGUCUUGAGUACAUUUGAGGUGGGCGGAAUGUGUCAUGUAGCGGUGAAAUGCUUAGAUAUGACACAGAACACCGAUUGCGAAGGCAGCGCACUAAACUGUAACUGACGCUGAGGCACGAAAGCGUGGGGAGCAAACAGG